rnacentral:rRNA from 1 species
GACGAACGCUGGCGGCAUGCUUAACACAUGCAAGUCGAACGGAAUAUGGGUGCUUGCAUCCAUGUUUAGUGGCAAACGGGUGAGUAACACGUGGGAACUUACCCUUCAGAGCGGGACAAGCACUGGAAACGGUGUCUAAUACCGCAUACGCCCUCAGGGGGAAAGGAGAGAUCCGCUGAAGGAGAGGCCCGCGGCAGAUUAGGUAGUUGGUGGGGUAAAAGCCUACCAAGCCGAUGAUCUGUAGCUGGUUUGAGAGGAUGAUCAGCCACACUGGAACUGCGACACGGUCCAGACUCCUACGGGAGGCAGCAGUGGGGAAUAUUGGACAAUGGGGGAAACCCUGAUCCAGCAAUGCCGCGUGAGUGACGAAGGCCUUAGGGUUGUAAAACUCUCUUCUAAGUGAGGAUGAUGACGGUAACUUAGGAAUAAGCUCCGGCUAACUUCGUGCCAGCAGCCGCCGUAA